rnacentral:lncRNA from 1 species
GAUGGUUUUCUGAAUUGGAAGGAGCUGGGAAAGCAGAACUGUCACAAACGGUGGCACUAAAUUAGAGAGGCUGCGAGAUGUCCACCAAGAGGACAGGAUCAGGUCUCUGACCGGGAGGUCAGCGUCUCUUCUCCUGGUUUAUGGGUAAGUGUUGGUCAGUUCUGUUCUGGGCUUGCUGAUAGACAGAUUUUGCCAAGAUAGCCUCCCCAACUUUGGGCAGGCGGGCGAAGGAAAGACUGAAUGUUUCUGGGAGCAGAAUGAAUUUUCAGUGAGAAAACUUUG